GACGAACGCUGGCCGCGUGCUUAACACAUGCAAGUCGAACGGAAAGGCCCUGCUUUUGUGGGGUGCUCGAGUGGCGAACGGGUGAGUAACACGUGAGUAACCUGCCCUUGACUUUGGGAUAACGUCAGGAAACUGGGGCUAAUACCGGAUAGGAGCUCCUGCUGCAUGGUGGGGGUUGGAAAGUUUCGGCGGUUGGGGAUGGACUCGCGGCUUAUCAGCUUGUUGGUGGGGUAGUGGCUUACCAAGGCUUUGACGGGUAGCCGGCCUGAGAGGGUGACCGGCCACAUUGGGACUGAGAUACGGCCCAGACUACUACGGGAGGCAGCAGUGGGGAAUAUUGCACAAUGGGCGGAAGCCUGAUGCAGCAACGCCGCGUGCGGGAUGACGGCCUUCGGGUUGUAAACCGCUUUCGCCUGUGACGAAGCGUGAGUGACGGUAAUGGGUAAAGAAGCACCGGCUAACUACGUG
rnacentral:rRNA from 1 species